rnacentral:lncRNA from 1 species
ACGAGGGAAGGAUUUGAGCAAUGCCCGGGAUCUGCAAAGCUUAGAACGCGCUGGAUGAUCAGUAGCUAGUGUGCACUGUGAUCCCCCUUCUGCUGCAGGUCAUGGCAAUUUGUCUGGAACUUUCGUAAGGCCACAGUCCAGAAAAGGGAAUACAGGCCCCUCUCUUUACAAGUAGACAGCUAGCUAAGACUUGAGCGCAAGUCCUGCGGCUAUUGAUUUUUGCUCUAUUCACCGUGCUUCUGUCAUUGUUGUUACUGGUCAGUGGGAUCAUUGGCACUUGAAGUGCACACCAUCGCAUGUCUACCUAUCACAUCGUUUGUUCCGUUUCGUUUCUCUCUUGUCUUUGAACUCUUGUUCCGAUCUUCAUAACAGACAGCUCCACUCGCUAGUACGUAGGUAGUUCAACAGCGCGCCAUGUAGUUGAGUUGUACUCUGUAGAGAGUAUGUGACGUGAAGAAUGGAAACAUCACAUUACUUUACUUGCCAUGUUUGGGUCGUCCUAAUCUCGAGUCCCCUUAAUUUGUCCAUAGUCUAUGGAAGAGAGGGGGGGGGGGGGCAGCAAUUUGCGUCUUGUGGCUCGUGAUUUGACAGGACGGGGCUAUUGUUUUUGGGGAAUUUGAGCAUAAGUGCGUAGCUAAUAGCUAGUUAGUCAGUCCAAUAAACUAAUUAGGAAACACGUACCAGAAAAUACCCGAAAAUUCUGCAUCUCACUGGACAGGUCAGUAAUCUCUAUUUCUGAUCUUAUCCUGUUGGGGAUGUGGUCUGCAGUCUGGCUUGCAGUAGCUGAACGCUCACCAGGUGACAGAAGGGCUACAGCCUACCGCUGUCAGUCCGGCUAGAGUUGUUGAACAGGGUCAACAGGACUAGAAAACGCCGAAAAUGGUUAGUUGUUGGCUUAAAGAGGUAUGUAGCGCACGGCCCAUAGACUGGGUUUGAUUUCUUGACGGCUGGAUGUGGACUCGAAUUGUGGAGAAAUGCGAGCCCUCGAACAUGAGUUCACCUCGAAGCGCUACUCUGCAGGAGUACUAGAGGCUAGGCUAAUGGCUAGUUGGUCGCUAGUGCGUCGUUAGUGAGGAACUGAACGUAGUGGAGAGAGAGCGAGCGAGCUGUCUCUACUUGGCGUCCCUAGGCACUUGGUCCCGACUCCCAAGCCAAUCGGAGAGCCCCUACCGGAGCCUUUUCCAAAGUACCGGAGUACUUGACUGAGCAGGCUCCAAGUCGAGGAUUGACAAGUACUGAAUACAAGUACAGGAGGAUACUUAGUAACUGUACUACGGACCCUGCGGAUCAACGUUAUCGCUCGUCUGGAUUUCCGCCGGGCUCGUCAAUAGUUCGCUAAUAGUUGUGUUGUCAUAUCAGGAGAAAUAUCGAGACCCAAAUUCCGAUUACCGGUAAAGCAGCAGAAGGAGAAAAGAAGCAUAGCAUACAUAAGGCGAAGGAAUGUUGGAUUGUGGUACAGGCCCCCAUGCCGAGUAAUGCUCCGGCUAAGUUCUGCGGGCUCGUAUAAUAAAUAAAACCAUGAUUUCAGUGGUUGGUAGGUUGAUGACAGUACGUAUGUAGCUGGUAUGUGACGUGAAUGCUGUCAGUCGCAUUCCAUGUUCGACUCUUGGAAUCAGGAAACUACAGUGGCAUGCUACGGAGAAAUGGUCUCAUGGCGCCCAUGGUCGCGGACCGCAUCCCCACAAUUCCUUAAUCCUUGAUCCUUGGAAUCUGGGCGAUCCAACAAGGCACGCAAAACUAAUGAAUGAUAGUACUCUACAGAGUGCUUCUUGGAAUGGUCGUACUGUGUACUGUUGUGACUGCUGACCGCUGACUGUUAGAGUCUAUUGGUGAGAUGUUCCUGAAUAUCCGCCCGCCAGUCCAUAUCGGGUGUAUACUUGAAUCCUCAUCAACACUUUCCCAGCGCUUUGGUAAAGGUCCAUUGGAGAAUUUUUAGAUUUCACCGGCGCCAGAGAGAGUUUCGACUACGGAGUAAUAGUUUGUUGAGUGGAUAAAUAGGUUGAAUAUUCCGAACACCCAUGAGCGAGUGCUUCUGGUGAUUUUACCUCCGAGCGUUGGUCUUCAAUCUGGUACCAAUAGUCCGUUUUUCUUCCGUGGGUGCCAAGGGAAAAAUUGACGAGGCGACCAGGAUGCCUCGUAAUCCUGGGAAUCCCUCCCAUGUCUUCAAGUAACUUACCUUAACGUUCGCCUUGAGGUGUAAGUAAGCAAGUUGAAAUGUUCUUUUCCUUACUCCGGCACUUUCAAAUGCCUGAGUCGAAGUCAAAUGUUGUGGGUUUCCAUCUCCUCUAAAACGACCCACAUCUUGUCACAGCAAAGACCACAGAGGGGAACUUAAUCUCUCUUAUUAUUAUUUGUUUUUCUGUUUUUCUCCCCAAAUUAUUAUUUUUUACUUCGUCUUUCAACACAUCCUUGGUUUUCGAACUGGACCGCCUUGUGACUGAACAGACCAAGAGGAGUUCAUGUUGAUGCAAUAUUGAAACCUUGGCCAGGGACUCCACUCAAAUUUGACACAGAUGCCUGUUCGCCCAGCGACAUUACUUGUAUCAAACCAUUCUUCAACACUUGUCCAAAAGUAUGUUAUGGACUUUUCCCGAUAGGGAGUUCACAUUGUACCCAUCCUAUGCUUGGAUCACAGCCACGUUCUGUCAUUGCGCAAGGACUCAGGAGUCGUGUCAUCUGUCCCGUUGGAGAUGGGAGGAUUUCCGAGUUUAUGCGCGGGUCGAUGCCAUGAACCUUUUUUGUACAGGUGCACACAAGCAUUUCUUGUCUGUGUGACUGACUUGGCUCCGAGACGAAACAUAAUUCAAGAGCUGUUUCACAAGGCCCAGACAGAAACAGGGAACAACCUUGUACGGGCAAGCUUGAAGACAGGCACAACUUACACAAGGAUUAAUAUUCCGAGCAUCAUGCGCAGAGGAGAUAUAACCCGAUAUUGAGUCUUCCCACGGUGCUUAAACUUAAGAUUUGUUGGGUGCCGAGUGGAUCAUUGAAUCCCAAUUGAGCCUCUAAGCACUGUCACAGUGUUAACCCAGUCAACCCGCUAGUGGUGAACCAUAACAGCCUUAAUCAAGAGGGGACUAAAGUCAAACUACGCACUUACUCCGUACGUACAGUACUAUAGUAUCAGGUCAUAAUCUUGGCCCGUCUGGGUCCAAAGCAUGAGACGGCGCCGUAAAUAGCAAGGGGUGCGAUUGCCGUUGCGAUGGCAGAACGGUGAAGCCACUGGUUGGAAUAGACGAUUGGAAUGACUCAAGAGUAACAGUCACAGCCACAGAUGGUGACGGAGCAAAGACAAGGCACUGUUCCGUUCCUAGAGCUGAUAGGGUGCAUAGGCACCCCAUGCUUGAGUGUUUCCCCUAAAUAGCCUAGACCCAAGCUCGGGGCUCCGUGCUCAAUGGCGGUACGAGGGUGUAUUCGAUGAGCGACUGUAAGUUUGUGGGCAGAAGGAAAGUUGUAUUUUGAUGACUGGUGUUUGGAUGAAGAGAUUGUCUUGCAAGGUGAAGGUGGACGUUGCCUGAAGGAAGUCACGGAGGACGGGUCGACUUACCUACUCUUCUGGCGAGGCUCUUCGUUUCCACAACAAAGAAGCUUGAAGUCUAUAUUGUGACUCCCCCAAUACUACCUCGAGCGAAGGAAAUAAAAGAAAAACUUCAAAAAGAGACCCCAAAAAUGGAUACUCAGAGGGUCGAAACUCAAACAUUGGUCGACGACAUGCAUAAAGCCUGAUACUACCAAGCCAAUGAAGUGAUAGAGCAAGGCAAAAAACCACAAAAAAAGAAAUCUGCGAUCUCAAAAAUGCUCGAGGCGGAACUCAACUUUGUUUCGCGGUCAUUGGAUCCUUGAGAUGUAGGCCAGACAGCGGUCAGAUUGCGUUGAUGUUAUCAACGAGUACCGACGAAUACCACAGGCGACGAUGUAAUGCGUAACACAGAGCAAGCAUUGUGCUACAAUAUACGUGCUACGCGACGAGAAGAUUGCCCUGAGACGCUAUCUCGAUGUCACGAUUUUCGAUACCCCAAACCAUAUACCGUCCCAAUGUUGCAUGCGUACUCCACCAGCGUUGCUUUUAUACGAAGAUACAUGCUAGAUUCUGAGGGUAUCGGAUGGUUUUGUGCUGUGGCGAUGGGGUAUUUAUGGUUAUUCAUACCAGUUUUGACCAAGCGCAAUAUCAACGCGCCUGUAUGGGGCGAAACAACGGACAUUUUCUGGUUCAUUGCCAUAAACUGGCCCUAGAUGGCAAUAAGGCGCUAUUCGAUACUAUAUGAUUCCGAGCCUGAACGACUCGCAAGGUUCACGACAGACCUUGAGAUGCAUCUCCGAUAUACGUCCGGAUGUAAUCUGGGACAAUUGCGUAAAGUAUCCAUGACAACGUCUAUUCCGUGUGGAUGGAUAGUUAUAUAACUAUCAGAAAAGCGGAUUACGUUAUGCUUUUAAUCUAACAAUAGCAAGCCUCACCAUAGAGACCGACGCCGUCAGAUGUUCAAUGUACAUGCAAAAGUUCAAUAUCUGAUAUGCAUAGCUGGCAAAUCUCUACAACAACGUCAUGAUUUAGCGAGGGUUCUGUCAGCCGGCAUUGCGGGGCAAUGCUUCAUGUAUGUUGCGGACUAAAUCCGAGGGAGAAACUGUCCGGCUUGAAGCCAAACUGGGCGUCGCUUAUUAUACCAGGUAUACUGGACAUCGAAAUGAACUUAACAAUUACCACGGAGAUGGCAGACUAAGUCCGAGUGAGAAGGCCGGGUUCCAAGCCACGAUGUGGAUUACCUACCUUGCUACUUGCUGACGGCGUUGUACUGCCUGUUCCAGGCAAAGAGGCCGUAUUAGCUUAUAGUUUGCAGUUGGUUCAUUCAACCAAUAACGGUACAUGCAUCUAUGAACGGAGAAUGCACCGUCAACUGUCGACGCGAAAAUGCAACAGCACCGAUGAACUGGAUAGACAGGCUAUAAACGAUAAAGUAAUCGUAGAUCACAAAUUUCAGAGUUGGUUAGUGUGACUAACCAUCACAAGAUCCCGACUUCAUCGGGUUUAGACGAACAUGAUUACUAUCAGAGAAAGAAAAAGAAGACAUGGUACUAUACUACACCCGACAAAGCUGUGCAACCAAGUCAGAUGCUUGUCUUGUGUCAAGUGAUAAGUGCAUGUACCUACUACCUACCAUGGACAAUGGCAUGUAACAUCAUCACCAUCAUUCUACAGGUACAUACCCUAACCCAUCCAUAUAGUAUACACCCAUGACCCCGGCCUCGGACAAUAUAUUAUAUCUCCAAGGUCCGGUUAAACUCGUGUGCAUCGCGCAAAAUAUUAUACUCAGGGUGCUCAUUGGAUGGAUCCAUGCAAUCCACGUACUCCGUCGAGGAUCCCGGACUUCUCGGUGAACCCUUGGUAGGUGCACUAAUAGUGAUUGGCCAGAGUAUCGCAUCCAUGGAUGUCUUAACUGUCUGGAUUUUGGGGAAAUCAGAGCCUUGUGACUAUACCGGAGAAUUUGAUUUCGCGCACUCGGGAACCGGGGUUCGUUCAAUGCCAUUGUGCUUGACAAGGUUCGUGUGAUGGCUGAGGCAUACACCUUCUCUUCGCCGGUACUUCCCGGCUAGAUGGUCAUGGAUACCAUGCCUAUCUUCAUUAGCGAGAUGCAUGAACCAGGUAGGAAUAUGGGUGGUUGUACGAUGUAGGGCGUUACGCCACCCAGUGACUAUACUCGAGAUCUCAGUUUAUUGGCGGAGAAUUGGCAUCCGGCGCUCAUCCAUAUAGGUGGUUGUCAAUAGAUGAGAGCCAGCUAUGUUGGGAAUUGGACGUGCUCUUCGAGUCUGGCCUGAGGUGGACUCGUUGCUGUACAUCGCGAUUUCAGGACCGAUCUAUAGAGUCCCGAAUGUCAAGAAAGGCAUCCUGCAAGCCCUGAGCUCGGAUCUGGUGAGAAGAGGAAUUGCUUAAAGGACAGUUUGCCGAUAUCUUUGGCCCAUUUAUCCCAGAUAUUGGGAUCAUCCUCCUCUCGAUAUGAUUGCCUCAGUGGCACGGCUAUAUUGAGGUGAUGGCCUGCCCACCCUUUAUCAGUAUUUGCUGGAGUAUGCUGAUCGAGCUGAACUUUGGGCUGUGUUCAUGUUUGGAGAAUCAAACACUUCCAUAUUUCCCCAAGGUUUAGCAAAGGUGCUAAUACCUUUUAGAAUCAAGCCCUCGGAGGACAUAACAGAUCCUAUUUCUCGUUCUUCUGACUUGCGACUAGCGACCAGGUCAUUCUCUUGUGGCAUGAGGCGGCCCGAUGUAGGCGAUCAAACACCUGUAGGUACGGUAGUGAUUGAGUGAAUGGCUGGCUAGUCCCGACUUAUUCAUGGCACACGAGUCAUUUCAAUGUUGUGAGCGUUUUGUCAGAGCAAUGGUUGAAAUCUUGAGCAGCAAGCAAUCAGCUUCUAUUAUCAAAUCUGUCCUUCGGAGACGAAGAAAGAAUAACAUCUGGUUGGUGCUUUUUCCCAAGCGACAGUUUCCAGUCUAAAAACAACAGUUUGAUUCAAUUGAUAGAGAUGAAAAGUGUAGGCUUUUCCGGGGUUGAUAGCACUCACUUUGCCUGAGUACUGGCAGCUUCUUAUCAUGUUCAGAUUAUCCAGGUAGCAAAUAUGCGCUCCAACCAAAUUGUAACAGAGCGAGGAUAUCAGGGCAAAACAUAGGUAUGGCAUAGUGUAAGGCCGUGGAAUGAAGGGCAGUGCUGAUAGCUUCAUGCGCCAGAGGCACGUGACUCAUACAACCUCAGAAACUCAGGUAGGAUUGGCAAGCUAGCGAACACCGAAUAGCUGCAAACAAUACAGAGUACACACACUACACGUUCUAUAGCGAUCGUAUCUUUACUCCUUUUCCGUACUACUAAGCCUGUCUACCUCUUACACAUAGGAAACUAAGAGGACGUGAGCUGAAGAGAAGAAACUAAUCUACACGGAUUUAUGCCUGCGCAUGGCAUGAUUUAUGAUGGUAUAUGCCUUCGGAACCCACAAAAGUGUAC